rnacentral:rRNA from 1 species
CCUACGGUGGGCAGCAGUGGGGAAUAUUGGACAAUGGGCGAAAGCCUGAUCCAGCCAUGCCGCGUGUGUGAAGAAGGCCUUCGGGUUGUAAAGCACUUUCAGUGGGGAAGAAAGCCUUGGGGCUAAUACCCUCGAGGAAGGACAUCACCCACAGAAGAAGCACCGGCUAACUCCGUGCCAGCAGCCGCGGUAAUACGGAGGGUGCGAGCGUUAAUCGGAAUUACUGGGCGUAAAGCGCGCGUAGGCGGUCUGAUAAGCCGGUUGUGAAAGCCCCGGGCUCAACCUGGGAACGGCAUCCGGAACCGGCAGGGUUGAGGGCAGGGAAGGAAGGUAGAAUUCCCGGGGUAGCGGUGAAAUGCGUAGGGAUCGGGAGGAAUUACAGGGGCGAAGGCGGCCCUCUGGACUGACACUGACGCUGAGGUGCGAAAGCGGGGGUAGCAAACAGGAUUAGAUACCCCUGUAGUC